AGUUUUACAGUCCGAAGGUCAAGACUGAUAUCUGGCCAUCCCAACAUGCCCUGGCUGAUCUUCUUCAGUACUUAUUAAAACGAGAUAAAAAACAAAA